UAACACGUAUGCAACCUGCCCUCUUCAGGGGGACAACCUUCCGAAAGGGAGGCUAAUCCCGCGUAUAUCGGUUUCGGGCAUCCGAGAUCGAGGAAAGAUUCAUCGGAAGAGGAUGGGCAUGCGGCGCAUUAGCUUGACGGCGGGGUAACGGCCCACCGUGGCGACGAUGCGUAGGGGUUCUGAGAGGAAGGUCCCCCACACUGGUACUGAGACACGGACCAGACUCCUACGGGAGGCAGCAGUGAGGAAUAUUGGUCAAUGGGAGAGAUCCUGAACCAGCCAAGCCGCGUGAGGGAAGACGGCCCUAUGGGUUGUAAACCUCUUUUGUCGGAGAACAAAACCCGGGACGUGUCCCGGACUGCGUGUAUCCGAAGAAAAAGCAUCGGCUAACUCCGUGCCAGCAGCCGCGGUAAUACGGAGGAUGCGAGCGUUAUCCGGAUUUAUUGGGUUUAAAGGGUGCGUAGGCGGUCCGUUAAGUCAGCGGUAAAAUUGCGGGGCUCAACCCCGUCGAGCCGUUGAAACUGGCAGACUUGAGUUGGCGAGAAGUACGCGGAAUGCGCGGUGUAGCGGUGAAAUGCAUAGAUAUCGCGCAGAACUCCGAUUGCGAAGGCAGCGUACCGGCGCCAGACUGACGCUGAGGCACGAAAGCGUGGGGAUCGAACAGGAUUAGAUACCCUGGUAGUCCACGCAGUAAACGAUGA
rnacentral:rRNA from 1 species